rnacentral:rRNA from 1 species
AAUAUUGGACAAUGGGGGCAACCCUGAUCCAGCCAUGCCGCGUGUGUGAAGAAGGUCUUCGGGUUGUAAAGCACUUUUGGCAGGGAAGAAACAGCCUGGGCGAAUACCCUGGGCGACUGACGGUACCUGCAGAAUAAGCACCGGCUAACUACGUGCCAGCAGCCGCGGUAAUACGUAGGGUGCAAGCGUUAAUCGGAAUUACUGGGCGUAAAGCGUGCGCAGGCGGUUCGGAAAGAAAGGUGUGAAAUCCCAGGGCUUAACCUUGGAACUGCAUUCUUAACUGCCGGGCUAGAGUAUGUCAGAGGGGGGUAGAAUUCCGCGUGUAGCAGUGAAAUGCGUAGAGAUGCGGAGGAAUACCGAUGGCGAAGGCAGCCCCCUGGGAUAAUACUGACGCUCAUGCACGAAAGCGUGGGGAGCAAAC